GAAGAUGGGACAGGUAGCCCCUCCCCCAGCCUUGCCUGAGCCCUGCCUGAGCCCUGCCUGCUCCCUGGCACUCUCUCUGUUUCAUUUAAAUAUAUUUUUUUCUUUUAUCAUGAGAUGUAAUCUACCUACAGAAAAGUGCCCAGAGCAUAGAUGCAUGAAGCGAACAUCUGGGUGGUUAGCAUUCAAGUUAAGAAAUAAAACACUGCACCCCAAAUCCUUCCUCCUUGCAAUGCCUUCUUCCCCCUAGAAGUAACCACUGUCUGAAUUUUGUGAUGAUCAUUUUCUUGCUUUUUAAAGACAUUUUUACCUCCUAAGCAUUUAUGACUAAACAUUUUAAUUAAAAUUUCUAUUUUUGAGCCUUA
rnacentral:lncRNA from 1 species